rnacentral:sRNA from 1 species
UUAGUGAGGCUUUCUGACUGGCGCCGAUGCUCUGGCAACAGAGCGCCGGAUGCCGGAAAGUUGGUCAAACUUGAUCAUUUAGAGGAAGUAAAAGUCGUAACAAGGUUUCCGUAGGUGAACCUGCGGAAGGAUCAUUACCGAUGUAAUCCAAAGGCACGACUCCGUCGUGACUACCGUGUGAACCGUACCAAACUAUUCAGGGGUCGGCCAGUCCGUUAAAUGGCGGUCGGACGCGUGCAUUGCGCGGCCGCUCCGCCAGCCCCGCCUGUGUUUUUUAACAUACGUGUCUUGUCUGAAAAAGUGGCCACUGCCGUGGUCGAGAGCAAAGAAAAAGAGAGACAACUUUUGACGGUGGAUCUCUUGGCUCACGCAUCGAUGAAGAACGCAGCCAGCUGCGAUAAGUAGUGUGAAUUGCAGAAUUCAGUGAAUCAUCGAAUCUUUGAACGCAAAUGGCGCUCUUGGGUUCUCCCAGGAGCAUGUCUGUCUGAGUGUCGGAUAUCAUCCAACGCACCUGAUCGUGCGGCGUUGAGGCGUCACGGCCCUUCUCGCGGCCGUGUCCCUUGAAAGUCAGUGAGACUCGCCGCGGCACGGGUUCGUUCCCUGCACACUCGCGGAGGCUAAAAACGCUUUUGCCCUUCGCGUGCACGGGAGCGACCCGCCCGCCGAGUCGCGGAGGCGAACACUAUUCAACUCUUGACCUCAGAUCAGGCAAG